ensembl:snRNA
UAAAAGGGCUUGUGUCGUGCGUGGCACACGGAGAGCGGCUCUGUUUGCUCUUUGGGCAGAAUCCACAUCAAGACAUUUGGGAAGCAUCAAUUUUCGACUCCUGGCCAUCUGAUGAUCCUUGGUCCGGGGUCCGG